rnacentral:rRNA from 1 species
CCUGGUAAAGAAACCCCGGCUAACUCCGUGCCAGCAGCCGCGGUAAUACGGAGGGGGUUAGCGUUGUUCGGAAUUACUGGGCGUAAAGCGCACGUAGGCGGAUUAGAAAGCUAGAGGUGAAAUCCCAGGGCUCAACCCUGGAACUGCCUUUAGAACUACUAGUCUAGAGUUCGAGAGAGGUGAGUGGAAUUCCAAGUGUAGAGGUGAAAUUCGUAGAUAUUUGGAGGAACACCAGUGGCGAAGGCGGCUCACUGGCUCGAUACUGACGCUGAGGUGCGAAAGUGUGGGGAGCAAACAGGAUUAGAUACCCUGGUAGUCCACACCGUAAACGAUGAAUGCCAGACGUCAGGGGGCUUGCCCUUUGGUGUCACACCUAACGGAUUAAGCAUUCCGCCUGGGGAGUACGGUCGCAAGAUUAAAACUCAAAGGAAUUGACGGGG